UGAACCUGAGAGUUUGAUCCUGGCUCAGAGCGAACGCUGGCGGCAUGCUUAACACAUGCAAGUCGCACGAACCUUUCGGGGUUAGUGGCGGACGGGUGAGUAACGCGUAGGAACCUAUCUGGAGGUGGGGGAUAACAUCGGGAAACUGGUGCUAAUACCGCAUGA
rnacentral:rRNA from 1 species